rnacentral:rRNA from 1 species
AUUGCACGCUGGCGGCAGGCCUAACACAUGCAAGUCGAGCGAGCGGCGGACGGGUGAGUAAUGUCUGGGCAACUGCCCGAUGGAGGGGGAUAACUCCUGGAAACGGUAGCUAAUACCGCAUACCAUCAGAUGUGCCCAGAUGGGACUAGCUAGUAGGUGGGGUAACGGCUCACCUGGGCGACGAUCCCUAGCUGGUCUGAGAGGAUGACCAGCCACACUGGAACUGAGACACGGUCCAGACUCCGACGGGAGGCAGCAGUGGGGAAUAUUGCACAAUGGGCGCAAGCCUGAUGCGGCCAUGCCGCGUGUGCGAAGAAGGCCUUCGGGUUGUAAAGCACUUUCAGCUGGGAGGCGUUACCCGCAGAAGAAGCACCGGCUAACUCCGUGCCAGCAGCCGCGGUAAUAC